UACGAGGGGGGCAAGCGUUGUUCGGAAUUAUUGGGCGUAAAGAGCUCGUAGGCGGCUUGUCACGUCGGGUGUGAAAGCCCGGGGCUUAACCCCGGGUCUGCAUUCGAUACGGGCAGGCUAGAGUGUGGUAGGGGAGAUCGGAAUUCCUGGUGUAGCGGUGAAAUGCGCAGAUAUCAGGAGGAACACCGGUGGCGAAGGCGGAUCUCUGGGCCAUUACUGACGCUGAGGAGCGAAAGCGUGGGGAGCGAACAGG
rnacentral:rRNA from 1 species